rnacentral:rRNA from 1 species
UACGUAGGGUGCGAGCGUUGUCCGGAAUUAUUGGGCGUAAAGAGCUUGCAGGCGGUUUGUCGCGUCUGCUGUGAAAAUCCGGGGCUCAACCCCGGACUUGCAGUGGGUACGGGCAGACUAGAGUGUGGUAGGGGAGACUGGAAUUCCUGGUGUAGCGGUGAAAUGCGCAGAUAUCAGGAGGAACACCGAUGGCGAAGGCAGGUCUCUGGGCCACUACUGACGCUGAGAAGCGAAAGCAUGGGGAGCGAACAGGAUUAGA